rnacentral:rRNA from 1 species
UACGAAGGGGGCUAGCGUUGCUCGGAAUCACUGGGCGUAAAGGGUGCGUAGGCGGGUCUUUAAGUCAGGGGUGAAAUCCUGGAGCUCAACUCCAGAACUGCCUUUGAUACUGAAGAUCUUGAGUUCGGGAGAGGUGAGUGGAGCUGCGAGUGUAGAGGUGAAAUUCGUAGAUAUUCGCAAGAACACCAGUGGCGAAGGCGGCGCACUGGCCCGAUACUGACGCUGAGGCACGAAAGCGUGGGGAGCAAACAGG